GUGGGGAAUAUUGGACAAUGGGCGCAAGCCUGAUCCAGCCAUGCCGCGUGAGUGAUGAAGGUCUUAGGAUUGUAAAAUCCUUUCACCGGUGAAGAUAAUGACUGUAGCCGGAGAAGAAGCCCCGGCUAACUUCGUGCCAGCAGCCGCGGUAAUACGAAGGGGGCUAGCGUUGCUCGGAUUUACUGGGCGUAAAGGGCGCGUAGGCGGACAUUUAAGUCAGGGGUGAAAUCCCGGGGCUCAACCUCGGAACUGCCUUUGAUACUGGGUGUCUUGAGUAUGAGAGAGGUGUGUGGAACUCCGGGUGUAGAGGUGAAAUUCGUAGAUAUUCGGAAGAACACCAGUGGCGAAGGCGACACACUGGCUCAUUACUGACGCUGAGGCGCGAAAGCGUGGGGAGCAAACAGGAUUAGAAACCCCAGUAGUCC
rnacentral:rRNA from 1 species